rnacentral:rRNA from 1 species
AUUGAACGCUGGCGGAAUGCUUUACACAUGCAAGUCGAACGGCAGCACGGGGCAACCUGGUGGCGAGUGGCGAACGGGUGAGUAAUACAUCGGAACGUGCCCAAUCGUGGGGGAUAACGUAGCGAAAGCUACGCUAAUACCGCAUACGAUCUACGGAUGAAAGCGGGGGAUCGCAAGACCUCGCGCGAAUGGAGCGGCCGAUGGCAGAUUAGGUAGUUGGUGGGGUAAAGGCUCACCAAGCCUGCGAUCUGCAGCUGGUCUGAGAGGACGACCAGCCACACUGGAACUGAGACACGGUCCAGACUCCUACGGGAGGCAGCAGUGGGGAAUUUUGGACAAUGGGCGCAAGCCUGAUCCAGCCAUUCCGCGUGCAGGAUGAAGGCCCUCGGGUUGUAAACUGCUUUUGUACGGAACGAAAAGGCUUUCUCUAAUACAGGGAGCUCAUGACGGUACCGUAAGAAUAAGCACCGGCUAACUACGUGCCAGCAGCC